rnacentral:lncRNA from 10 species
UGUGUUUGACUCUUAGAGGCUUACUACACAAUCUUGUUAUGUAUUUAGAUUUAUUAUUCUAAUCUAAUCUGAAGAAAUACAAAUAAUUGAGAAAUAGAUGAUUCCAAAUAGACUGUCCUCAUAGUUUCAAAGUCACAGUCUCUCAUGCAAGAUUGUCUAUAUUAACAGUGUUGUCUGUCAACAUUAUCCGUCCCUUUUGAGGGUAGUGUCAUCUGAUAACAUUUUUGAGUCAUGGGAAAUUUCCGGAAACAGAACAGCACACAGAAAGGACUGACCUAUUUCUCUUAGAGUAACAUCCUCGUGGCUCAUCCACUGAUUGAAGAAAUAUUUCUGUUGCUAGGAGAAAGGACCUUGAAACCUUGAAGUAUUCUGUGGUAUCCUGUGUGUACACAGUUCUUCUUCAAAGAGAACUUAGAGACAUUUACUUGGGUGACUUGACAUUAAAGGGAAGAGAUUGCCUAGAGCAGGGGGCAGCACACUGUGGACUGAGAACCAAAUCAAGCCAGGCAUCUGUUUUUGCAAAUAAAGUUUUAUUAGAAAACAGCAAUGUCCAUUCAUUUACACAUUGUCUAUGGCUGAUUUCAUGCUACAAUUGCAGAGUCCAUAAUUGCAACUAAGAUGUUAUGAUUUGCAAAACCUAAAGUACUCACCAAUUAACAUUUUAUAAAAUAUGUUUGCUGACCCUUGACAUUUGAGGACAGUUGGACAUGGGUCUAAGGUGACAUUGAUACCCAAAGAGCCAAAGCAUCAUCAUGGCCCCCUGAUAAAGUGGGAGCUUAUAGGGUUAUGUAAUAAUUAGUGUCCUGGGUGAAUUCAGUUAAAUUCUGCAGACCAACCCAGCAGUUCUCUUCCCAGUCCCUGAAUGGAUAAUUCGAUUAAUAUACUUGACCAUUGGGGUAGCUCCUGCAUUGGGCCCUUUGCCUGUCAAGUAAGAAGGACAUGUGAAACCACCUGAAACUGCCACCCAAGUCACCUACAUAGCAAAUCAAUAACAAUAUCGCAUGCUCAUAGGGGGCUGGAGUUGUGUUGAAGAGAUGAGUGUCAUUUUAAAAGUCCUUAAGCUUGUGGUGGGAUACGGAGUGGUGGGGGUUUUUAUCAUUUUCUUUUAACUCCUCAGUGCAGCCUCUUUAGUAGCAAGCUGUAUCCUGAAGGAGAACUGGAGAUUACCUCAACCAACCAAGUUGCCACUCUGAUGGCAGCUUCAGCUCCAGACACAGAGUUGUUUUUAGAAUUGAUUCCAACAGCCAAUUGGGCACAUGGUGCACAACCCUGAAUUGUUGGAUAUACUCUUCUCUUCUGAUCAGAACAGAAGUCUUAUUGGAAUUCAUGUGGAAAGGACAAUAGUUACUACUAGUCUUGCCCUAGAAUUAUGUUUACUCUACUUGGCCCUGUUAUAUAAGGGAACAAAGCCAUCUGGUGCAUCUGCAGAACACUAUGCUGAUCUACUUUGUCGAGACGUCAUGCUGAUUGGGUUGGAUAAGCAAGAAGCCAUGGAGGUCUUGGGAAGAUACAUGCACUCCAGAGGGUGGAUGCAGGAGCUAAACUCUGAGAAGAUUCAGGGACUUGUCACUUCAAUAAAGUUUUGAGGUGUUUAGAAGUCAGAGGAUUUGUAGAAUGUUUCUUACAGAGUUCAAGCAAAUUGUUGUUGCAUCUUGCAUCUCCUGCCACAAAGAAGGAAGUUGAUCACCUGGAUAGGUCCUUUGGGAUCUGGAGAUGACACCUUCUACAUCAGAUGACUUAGACCAUGGGCAGCUAGGAACAGGUCCUUGGGACAGGAAAGGGCUCUGCAGUAGGUUCACUCUGUAGUGGAUGCUUCCCUGCCACGUGGUCUGUGAAACCUACACUCCCCAUGGGGGUGUCAGUAGUAAGUGCACAUGCAAUGGGAGAAUCACAACACAGGCUCUUGGAAGAGAUGCAGUCCAUGCCAUCUGCAGCUGAAAAAUCCGCCCCCCCUUGGGACAUACUACCUGGCAUAGUACUGGACCCAGGUAAGUUUGGAAUGUCUGGCCAUAGGGUGCAUAUGUCCAUGCAUUUGAAAUUGAGCACUAUGAGCCUGUCACAUUUACCAAGUUAGAGUGAAUAGGCCACCCAGUAUUCCUUUGGAGGUUGGAAAUGGUACAUUCAAGGUCAGGGCUGUGAGUAACAAGCAGUCACUAUCCAAUUAAAAGAAAUCUGGGCAUAGAGCUUCUAUUCAAACAGAUUGUAGGAGGGAGGGGAGGAGGACUGUUGCAACAGGGAGGACCCUAGACAUGAGAUUGGCAGGUGUCUCUAAGGUCAGCCAGAGAGGAGCUUUUACAUUAUAGGGAGGAGUAAGGAGGCCAGAAAAAAAAAAAGAAGGACUGCAACAGGGGCUCGGGGAUUGUGUGUCUUUGAGACCAGCUGAUACUUAGGAGGGUUAAGGAGGCACCAUUCUGCAUUCAAGUGCUGAGCUAGGCUGAUGGUGGGCUGAAGAGAUGAGGAGAAAAUAGGAGGUGACUUAAAGGAAUAAAAGGUCUUCCACCUGUGAGAAUGGUUGCAGUCACAGCUCCCAGGAGUCUACCUUCCUGGAUCACUUCUAUUUGCUAAAUGAUUUUCCUUCCCCUUUCAUCAAAUGAUAAAUGCUCUUUCUCCAUUUCCUUGAGACUGGGCUGGCCUGUGGCUUGCUUUAUCUGAUAGGAUGUGCUGGAGAGGUGUGUGAGCUGGAGGCCUCGAAGGCCUUGCAGCUUCUGCUUAGAACCUCUUACAACGCCAACAUCAACUCCCCAUCAGCCUCCUGGGAAGAAGCCCAGUAACCCCAAUGGAAGCAUGAGAGGCCCUAGGAGAAGAAUUAAGAUGCCAUCGCCAACAGCUGGCACCAGCAUUCCAGAGUCUGAAUGAGGCCAGCUUGGAUCCCAAUCAGCUGCAUGAGUGACCCCAGCGUUUCUUCAGAGAAGAGUGUUAUCCUUCCAAUCCUACCUCCUGACCCGCACAGCUGGGACCUCUCUCCGUGGUAUCUUGCUGCCACUGCUUCAACACUCUACAGACUUGCCCUGAAUCUCACGCUUCAGGAAUCAGGGCAGGUCCCUUCCUCAGUUAAUAAAA